AAAUUCAUGCAUGUAAAUUAAGCGUGCACUCUCAACCAACAUACACAAAUCAGUUUUUAUACGAACGGAUAAGUAAAUUGAAAUCACAACUUAUGAAAUCACAACCGAAGGUAAUCAAUUCAUAUUACAAAUAUAUUCAUGGCUUUGAAUUAACCUCUAGCCAAAAUAAAUUUAGCUACACAUUAUUCUAAAAUUAAACAAAAAAUUAAACAUGAAGUUGAGAAGAUAAAACCAAGAAAAAUGGAGUGAAACUUUUCUCUGUGUUGCUCCCAUUUCUGCUGGUCUCUGCCCUCAGUCCCGUGUCAGUCUCUCCUCCUCUUUCCUGUGCCUACUGUGCACUGGCCUCUUAUUUUCUUUCCUUUCUGCGUGCUGACCUCCUGACCUCCUGACCUCUCGCUGCGCCUCACCGUUUCCUGCUUUUCCUUUCCUCUCUCCCCGUACUGUCUUCUUUCCUUCCCGUGCUCCCUUCUUGCGCCCACGUCAGUCUCUUCUCUCCCCCAAUUAUUUUUCUGUUCCGUUGCGUCUGUCUGCGAGCUGCCCAAAGGCAGCUCCCCCCCCUCUCCUCACCUUAUUUCCUUUUUUUUAUUCCCUCCCGUUUUUUUUUACGGUCUCUGCCCUCUACUUUCCUUUUUGAAGAAAUCACUUGUUCAGCCCCUCCACCUCCAGGAAGAAACAGGUCAAAAGAAGUAAUGAAUACACCUGCUCUCCUAUACCAAUCAUGACCCCUUCUACGCCAGCAGGUCUUUCCAAACCAACAUCAUUUUGUCUGACAGGAUCCAAUGUGGUUGGCGCGGAUCUCCCCAUUGCAGAAAAUCCAUACUUAGCAAUGUCAUUGUACCUUUAGUUAAAAUAAAAUUGUAGAUUUGGAUAAUCACAUAGUAGAAAUUAGAAAAAGAAAGGCAUCGGGAAGUGGAAAUGUAAAGACAUACAGAUUUUUAAACAAAAUACCAUAUUAAAAACUAUAGUCACUCCAAUCCUGAUAACCACUAAAGGAUCAUGGUGACCUCCAAAACUUCAAACAUUCUGCAUUGCAAGAUAUAGAUGUAUACCUUACCUGGGCUCAGUUCAUACCUAUGGUGGUUAAAACAGAAUCAAGUAAAUAAUUUUACUUGUUCUAUUUUUAUUUUCUUUGCAUAACAAAUCCUAUAAACACAAAAAUAACGUAAAUAGCUCAAAAAUAUAAGGAACUAACUAAGAAAAGACGAGUGAAUUCGAAGUAAAAUAUAUAUAAAAUAUGAUCCGAUCAAAUACCCCCACACUUAACUUUUGCUAGUCCUCGAGCAAAACAAAGAAAAUAUGAAAAAGUAAUAACAUGAAAAACAUUAGCUUCCCUCUAUGUGACCCUCAUAGAAUUUCAUUCGAGAAAACAAAUCAUCAAGAACCAUAGCUAGCACCAACAAACUAAUCCAAGUUCAUCUUCCUUAUUCAAAUAUUAGCAGUAAUCUUUGAAUCAUCCUUGAAGUGUAGUGUGUGAGAUAGCCAUGCUAAUGCAAUUUCAAGUUUUUAUUUUUAAGAUCAUCAUAUGCAAACUAGCGACCUUCUCACUGGAUAUGCACUCAAUCACACAUGUGUUUAGUUUUAAUGUGUUUCGCUCAAAGAAUCAAAUGUGAAAUUUCUACCAUAAGCUUGCAUAAAGAUCACUUCUCCACAGUCAUAAUUGCAAAACUUAAAUCAAGAGGACUUUUAUUGGAUGUAAUGAGGCUUAGGGAUAGGGUUAUUGAAACGAAAGAAUAGGAAAACACAAGUUCCAAGCUACAUUGCAAGCAAUUCUUUUGUUUAGAUUUAUAAGAACUCAAGCUCUACAACGAUUCUUCUGAUACCUCCAAUCACACCCUUAAACUGAAACUUUAAAAACAUUUUUUUUUUCUUUUCUUAGUAUACAAUCUUUCUUUUUCUUUUUUUCUCUCUUUUUUUUUUUUUUUUUUUUUUUUUUUUUUUUUCAAUACAAACAUGAAAUACCCCCACACUUAUUCUUUUGCCCAACACCCUCAAAGUACUUCACAAACAUUUCUCAUAAGAUAAUCUCACAUUGCUCGCUUGGAAAGGGUAAGGAAAAAUGUUUCAGGUAUAAGGGUAGACAUAUCUGGUGAUAAGAAAUAAAAGGCUCAACAUACACGGCUCAAAUUGGCAAUCUAAUGAUAUCAUUUUUCUUUGGGAAACAUGGUUAUUUGGGCCAUAGUGGUAAACCUAAUGCCUCUAUCAUUUUCAAAUUCAUGCAAUCAAUGACAAACAUUUCGAAAGAUCGUUACGCAAGUUCUAGAGAUGUAUAUCACAUAAGUUCAUCACACAUAAAAAAAUAGGAGUGUAUGAAAAAUGCACACACUUUCAAUCGGCUCAAAAACUCACAUAGGAUGGUCACUAAUUCACAUAUGAAGCUUUAAGUUAUGCUUUAGUUUCACAUCAACAAGGCUAUGUGCAAUUGGUUUUUCAAAGAUGAUCAAACAUGUACAAAACUAACAAAAGAAUUAGGAAUUUCACAAAACACAUGUUAACUAAGUUCUUGAUAAUCAUGAUUCAAAUUUGAUCUAAUUAUAUCAUUGGGUCGGGAAACUAACAAAAAAAAAUCUGAUUCAGAACAAAAAGGGAAACAAGACAAUAUUUUUGGAUUUUUAAAUUUUCCGAUUUUUUAUUUUAUUUUUUAUUAUUAUUAUUAUUAUUAUUAUUAUUUUUUUUUUUUUAAGAAAACAAAAACUAACAACACAGAAACAAAUGAAAUUCUAGAGAUUUCUACCCCCACACUUAAACUUGACAUUGUCCCCAAUGUCAGAAAACAUUAUAAUGCAAAUAAAAAAAUAAAAUAAAAUAAAUAAAUAAUAAGAAACAAAAUAACGCAAUUGGACUGAAAACUUCCCUAAUUUGCAGUAAAAUCAAGCGAUGACCCCCAAGCUAAAAUUCUGCAAUCAACUUCAAGGGUGGAAAUAACCAAAAGUUCCUGCAAAGAAAAGGAAAAAUUCAGUUAAGUACGCAAGAAAAUUAAUUAAAAAAAUUGCAAACGAAAAAUUGAAAAUUACGAUAAAAGAUAAUGAAUAAAACUAAUAAGUAAUCAUUGGUCGUGCUUGUUGACUUUCCACAGCUUUCCUCUUGAACAGGGUGACACUUAGCUUUUCACUUGCAAGUGAUAAUUUUAUGAUAUUGUACGGCGAAGCUUUGCUCUUUGGUUAUGUUGCAGUUCCUUAUUUGUUCUCCAAGCAGAUGUGGCACCUUCUCUAGUUCCUCAGUUCGGACUCCUUCCGCUGGGAUGAUUGUGCAAGCUGCAUUCUUCUCUGCUUGUUUCUUCUGCACAACGGGCAGGCACGAGGGAAAGGUGUUGGUCCUUAUUUCUUUCUUCAAUCUUUCCAAGUGCCCACCUCUUGCUUUCUUUCUCCUUGUCCCUAGCUGAAUUGUCUCCACAUGCUUCGAGGUAUCAUUUUCACUUCCCUUACUGUCCCCCAGGCAGAUGUGGUAGACGAAGAGAAAGCAUAAAAUGAUGAAGAUGAGUACUCGAGAGCAAGGCUAGGUAAGCAAUCAGGGAAGGGGUUCCAGGCAGUUGGCUCCAGAUUGGAAGAUUGAUACCAAAUGCUGGCUGAUUGCUCUCUUUUCUCCUUGUCGGAAAACAAAGACAAGGAGAAGGACAUGGAGAAAGCAUGAUAUGAGAUACUCUUGCUUUCAACCUUUAUGAUAUGAAAUACUUUUGCUUUGAAUGGGUUGUUCGCAGGAGUAUCCCAAGGAAUGAGGAACACAGAGUGACUCGAGAGGAUUCUUUGGGAAUGCAUUUUCGGAGAUGAAGAGGUGUUGAGAGGGUGUGCUGAGAGAGUGUGCUUUUGCUGUGGAAGGCGAAGGUAGAAACUUAUAGGACUUGUCUUCACAACCGGAACUGUUCUCUCACUUAGUGUCGGCAGCCGGUGGAUGGGUGAAGAAUACAAAUUACGCGCUUUCUGACAAAGCUGCCCGUAAUUUCCGCAAAGCUGCCAGUUGCAUGUGACAAGUGCUGGCUAGGCUGAGAGAGAGACAGAUGGUUGGAAUCGGCACUUCGACAGACUGCCCGUGAUUUUCGCAGAGCUGAGUUUGCGUGUGACGGUUGACAAACGUCUGGACGAAUUGAUCUUGCGAAAUCCGGGGUUCGGCUCGUGGUUUCUGAGCAAGCCCAAUUUUUAAGAAAUGAAACGCCUCUUUUGAGAAAAAGAAUCCGACUUUUGAGAAAGGAGUCCCUCUUUUGAGAAAAAACUCCGGCUUUUGAGAAAGGAGCCCCGACUCUUCGAUUUGCGAGAGGACGCCUCUCUGAGGAGCGCCUCUUUGAUUUCUUCUUUUUAUAGAGGCGUUAAUUUUGUUCCACAACAUACUUGAGCUCCCUCCUGUAAAACACUCCCUUCUUGCACUUGUUUAAUCUUGAUCAGUCCUCCUCUCUUCUUUCUUCACCACCUCUGAAAAUGUCUGGCCCUUCCGAUCGUCGUUUUGACUUGAACAUUGGUGAAGAGGCAGCUCCGCCUUCACCAGACAACAUAUGGCGCCCAUCCUUCAUAUCCCCUACCGGUCCCCUCACCGUUGGGGAUUCGGUGAUGAAAAAUGACAUGACCGCUGCGGUUGUGGCCCGGAACCUUGUCACCCCCAGAGAUAACAGACUGCUCGCAAGGCGGUCUGAUGAAUUGGCGGUCAAGGAGUCUCUGGCUCUCAGUGUGCAGUGUGCGGGUUCCGUAUCCAACAUGGCCCAACGCCUAUAUGCCCGAACCCGUCACGUUGAAUCCUUGGUGGCUGAAAUACAGAGUCUCAAGCAAGAGAUUAAAGGGCUCAAGCAUGAGAAUAAGGAAUUGCACAAGCUCGCACACAGCUAUGCCACCAGCAUGAAGAGGAAGAUUGACCAGAUGCAGGACACCGAUGGUCAAAUUUUACUUGAUCAUCGGAGGUUUGUGGGUUUGUUCCAACAACAUCUGCCUUCGUCUUCUGGAGCGGCACCGCGUAGUGAAGCUCCAACUGAUCAACCUCUGCCGCCUCCUCCUUCUGUGGCCCCGCCGACUGCUGAAGCCCCGCCUACUACUGAAGCACCACCCGACCAAUGAAUACUAUUAGUUUACAUCAUUGUAAAAUAUUUGUACUUUUUUUUUUUUUUUUUUUUUAUGUAAAUUUUUUUUUUUUUUUAUCAUUAAUUUUUUAAAUUUUUUUUUUUUUUUUUUUUUUUUUUAAAUUUUUUUUAUGUAAAUUAAUGUAAAGAGACUUUGGUUAACCUUCCCCCACACUUAAACUAAAUAAUACAAACUCACAGAAAUCAACCAAAUAACACAACUAACUAAACAAAACAAAAUGAAAGCAGUAAAGAUAAGGGUGUAAAAAUGCAAAUCUGAUUGGGUUAGCGAUUCCAAAGUCUCCCUUCGUUGAAUGCUUGGGUUGCCUCCCAAGAAGCGCUUGAUUUAACGUCUUUAGCCGGACGCAUCUUUCCUUUAAAUUUCCCUCAGCUCCAUUUGUACCUAAAAUCAAAGAAAGAAAAAUAAAUCAAAUAUCAAAAGUAAAAUACACAAACACCAAUAUAAACAUAACAAAAACAAAAAUAAAAGGAUUAGCAAAGUUACUAAUCCCCGGCAACGGCGCCAAAAUUUGGUGUGAGAAUUUCUUGACACACAAAUUAAACCCUCUUUUUGACAAUUGUAGUAUGGAUGUAAGUAGGGUAUCGUUCUAGGCCGGGGAUUAGGAGGGAUUGCUAAUCUAUUCUAAAUUAAUUUAAAAAUAUUAAAUAAGACUCAAGGACACAAAACUAGGCUAAAAACUCUAAUAACUCGAAACACACUUAGGAUAACUCAAAAUAAUGAAAACAAUCAAAUUAGACACUAGGAACUGAAAUGGACGGAAAUUGAAUUAAAAGACUAACAACAAUGAAAACUAACUAAAUAAUAUAAUUUAAUAAUGGAAAGGUGUUUGGUUUUGACUAGAAGUAAAUUAAACUUAAAUAAAUUACAGAAUUGACAAAAACAUGAAAUUAAGGUGAAAGGAUAAAUGACGGACUAGCUAGAGGGUUCUUCUCUACACAUGACACAUAUGCAACCUAAAUUGAUUUUCAGUUGUUCUUUCAAUAAGUUGUGAAUCUCAACACUUCAGAUUAACCGUGAACAGCACUUUUUUAAUCUUCAAGUUUUUCUUAAGUUAUUGAAUUGGACGGGAAAACGCAUACAACAAUUCAAAACAUUCUUCAAAAGUCCCCUACGUGAAAAGCACAAUAGAGAUACAAUCAAAGAUCAUUAAACUUUGUGAAAACUAUAAGCAUUGACGAGGCAUUCGUAACUAUGAAAAGCAUGAUACUCUUGCCAAGAAUUUACUUAACGUGAUUGUGACUAGCAACCUUUACUACUUGUGAAAAUAAGUUCAUAACGAUUAGGUGAAAUUCACUUAUAUUCUAGCAUCAAAUUCAUGCAUGUAAAUUAAGCGUGCACUCUCAACCAACAUACACAAAUCAGUUUUAUACGAACGGAUAAGUAAAUUGAAAUCACAACUUAUGAAAUCACAACCGAAGGUAAUCAAUUCAUAUUACAAAUAUAUUCAUGGCUUUGAAUUAACCUCUAGCCAAAAUAAAUUUAGGUACACAUUAUUCUAAAAUUAAACAAAAAAUUAAACAUGAAGUUGAGAAGAUAAAACCAAGAAAAAUGGAGUGAAACUUUUCUCUGUGUUGCUCCCAUUUCUGCUGGUCUCUGCCCUCAGUCCCGUGUCAGUCUCUCUCCUCCUCUUCCUGUGCCUACUGUGCUGCACUGGCCUCUUAUUUUCUUUCCUUUCUGCGUGCUGACCUCCUGACCUCCUGACCUCUCGCUGCGCCUCACCGUUUCCUGCUUUUCCUUUCCUCUCUCCCCGUACUGUCUUCUUUCCUUCCCGUGCUCCCUUCUUGCGCCCACGUCAGUCUCUUCUCUCCCCCAAUUAUUUUUCUGUUCCGCUGCGUCUGUCUGCGAGCUGCCCAAAGGCAGCUCCCCCCCCUCUCCUC
rnacentral:lncRNA from 1 species